UUUUUUUUUUUUUUUUUUGCUGCCUAGCUUGGAUCUCUUAGAUAGUUAAAUGCUUUUUGGGUGUUUUGUAAUUCUUGGGGCUGCGGGGGGUAAAUAAGUAUUUUUCUUUUGAGUUAUCAUGCCCCAUUUGACCUAAUAUCCUGCAAGUGGCAACGUAACAUGUGCAGCAUGUUAUUUGGUCCCAUGUUGCAAACGGUAGAACAGUGAUUUUGAUGUACAAUUCUUCUAAUAUGAUGUGACGGUUAUCUAUGCUACCGAGUGGUUUUGUGGCAGUUCAUAGAAAUUGGAGGUUUCAAUCUGUUAAGUGAUCUACUUACGUAGUAGAUGCAUUGCUUGAUGUGUAUUGGAUUAUCUGAAGCGUAUUAAUUAGCUGGAGUUCUUAUGGAUCUGUCUAUAUUAGUGUGGACAAACUGACAAUACAAUCCAUUGAAUGCAUUUUGAAUUUGAAUUUUCGAUCACCCGUCUCCCUCAGCCAUGCAGCAGUCAAAAGCCGCAAAGCAGGAAAGGCAGGAACGGAGAUUGGCGCUAUGGUGGAGGAAGGAGAAUAACAGAGGAAAAUAUUUUUUAUUUUCUAUUCUUUAAUUUUUUUUCUUUUUUUG
rnacentral:misc_RNA from 1 species